rnacentral:sRNA from 10 species
UGUUCUUCAAUUUUUUUUUCAUCUUUUUGCUUUUUUGCUUCCAUCUCUUUCAGUCAUAUACAUUAUUACAUUGUUGGGUUUUGGCUUGGUGGCUGUGGCAGCUGUUUUCGGCUUUACUUGGGUUUGUAUUAUGGAGGCUCAGCUAUCAAUCGCAAGUCGCUUUUGUUUGCACUCGAAUUCCUAUUUUGGAGCUCAACUCUUACUAGAUGAUGAAUGGUGAACGGCUUUGUUUAUUACUCGAUUUCUCGCAAGAUCUCAAAGUCAGCACUCCUCUUAUAUUAUGAAGUAUGUUGAUUUUCUCUUGCUUAGUAAUGUUAUUUACACUUUUUCUGCACCCUUUACAAGUUCAAUGUUUUGCUUAAAUUAUUAAGCUUAUCUAAUUUUCUUCUCAUUC